UAUUCCCAAAUCUUCCUCAUUAAUUUCUUCUCUUUUUUUUUUGGAGGUUAAAAAUCAAAUUCAGAUCUCAUCACUAACAAAUCACAAAAAAUGGAGUCGAAAGAAGAAUUAUCAUCAGCAAAAGCAGUUCUUGUUGGAGCUUUAGCUCCAGGAGUCAACGCUCCUACUUGGAAUACGUUGAAGAUUGCAUUUUUAAUGCUGGUUGUGUGUCUGAUUGUUAUGUUGGGGUUGGCUUUCUCUUCAAGUGACUUGUCUUUGACUCUCCAUGUUGCUUUCCUCUUUUUAAUUACUGCAACCCUCUUCGUGCUUCUUACCAGGUUUCUUGCUGAGACUGGGUUUGUUUCCGUUGAACAUCAAAUGGAGGAAUUAGGUUUAGCACCCAAAGAUGAAGAUACAAGCAAGAAGACCAGUUGAAGCUUUUUAAAAUCAGACAUAUCAUUACAUAAUGGCUUUUCCCUUAAGAUUACAUUUUACACGGUACAUCAUGAUGAUUGAAAGCUGAAUCUUGAGCUAUUUUGUUGGAAAAGCAAAAGAAGGGGUGACGUAGAUCCUUUGCUCAAUCUUUGCCAUCCUCAAGAUAAGAAGAUGCCUUUCUUGGAAGCCAUAAGCUAACCAAGUUGAUGUAUGCCUGAGGAAAAGUGGUUCCUUUUGCUUUCCUGUUUUUGAAGGUAAGAUUUCUUAAUGCUAACCAAAACUUAUUUUUAAACAAUGCAGAAAGCUCCACUUUCCUCCUCCUACUUAGUUACUCUCCUGCUCCAAUUUGUUUUUUAAUUUGUGUCACCUGAAAAAAGUUCCAUUUCCCAUAAGGUAGGCACAUUAACGAAUGCAAAUGAAUCCUUUGGGCCUCUACACUAGUCAUGAUGUACAUGGUUACUUUCCUCAUUAAUUAGUCCUCCACUUUGAACUAAAUCAGUUAAAAAUCUUUUUUCAAAAUGUUACCAGUAUCUGUCAUGCAUUUAAAUUUUGUCACUUCGCUGUGGCUUUUUUUCUGCUGCUGCUUUCUUUUUCUCCGAAGUUCCAGAAUCAACUCCUCAAAAAAAAAAAAUAAAAAAAAAUCUCUUCUUAUGAUUCUUCCAACGACUAUAUUUAAAUUUUGAUCACGUUGCUCAAUGGAAAAAAAAAAAAAAUCCCUUAUAAAAGCGUGUUUAUGGAAAAGCAAAUUGAAGACCAAUGUUUAGAAAAAAUCAAGCGGAUAUUCGAAACUCAUGCCCAACUAUUUUAGGUUCACGGUGGUAGGCCAACUAACACGGUUACCGCCCCUUACAAAAAAGUUUUUUCAAAGGUAAAAUGCGUUAGAUCAAAAAGUUCUCCAUUUCAAGGGCUCAAAUUCGAGGUCUAAUUAAGGGUGAAUGGAUCCCAACCUCGUGACUUCUAUGGAAAUGCUUGCUUAAAUGCAUAUUAUGGCCCCUAUGAAAAAUUUUAAACAAAAAUUACGCUUGCCUUCCCGUUUCUGUUCCAAGCAACCUUCAACCAACGUCCUACAAAGAAAUAAUCAAAGAUGAUUCCGAUUCAAACUUUUGAACUUAUACUCUAAAUUCAGACAUAAAAGAUUUUAGUCUUUAGAAAAUAAAUUUUCCAGAUUUAGAAAUAUAAAUAUACUUUCCAAAUCAAAUAUGCGUUGGAAAAAUAGAAAGAAUAAAUUAAUAAAUAAA